UGACAUUCCAGUUAUGAACUUUGCAGCAUCUGACUGAGUAGACGGAAGGGCAGAACAUCCCGCCAUACUGUUCGUCAAUCCAAUUAGGACCUUCGCAGCAUCUGACUGAGUAGACGCAGCAUCUGACUGAGUAGACAAAAGGACGGAAUAUUCGGCCACAUUGUUCGGCAUUCCAGUUAAACGCCCUGUCGCAUCUGAUUGAGUAGACAGA
rnacentral:misc_RNA from 1 species